UACGGAGGGUGCGAGCGUUGUCCGGAAUCACUGGGCGUAAAGGGCGCGUAGGCGGCCUGCUAAGUCGGGGGUGAAAUCCUGCGGCUUAACCGCAGGGCUGCCUUCUAAACUGUCAGGCUGGAGCACAGUAGAGGCAGGUGGAAUUCCCGGUGUAGCGGUGGAAUGCGUAGAGAUCGGGAAGAACAUCAGUGGCGAAGGCGGCCUGCUGGGCUGUUGCUGACGCUGAGGCGCGACAGCGUGGGGAGCAAACAGG
rnacentral:rRNA from 1 species